AGAGUUCGAUUAUGGCUCAGGAUGAACGCUGGCGGCGUGCUUAACACAUGCAAGUCGAGCGAAGCACUUAUGAUGAUUCUUCGGAUGAAUCAUUUGUGACUGAGCGGCGGACGGGUGAGUAACGCGUGAGUAACCUGCCUCAUACAGGGGAAUAACAGUUAGAAAUGACUGCUAAUGCCGCAUAAGCGCACAGGGCCGCAUGGCCCGGUGUGAAAAACUCCGGUGGUAUGAGAUGGACUCGCGUCUGAUUAGCUAGUUGGCAGGGUAACGGCCUACCAAGGCGACGAUCAGUAGCCGGCCUGAGAGGGUGAACGGCCACAUUGGGACUGAGACACGGCCCAA
rnacentral:rRNA from 1 species